CUAUACAUGCAGUCGAGCGAACUGAUUAGAAGCUUGCUUCUAUGACGUUAGCGGCGGACGGGUGAGUAACACGUGGGCAACCUGCCUGUAAGACUGGGAUAACUUCGGGAAACCGAAGCUAAUACCGGAUAGGAUCUUCUCCUUCAUGGGAGAUGAUUGAAAGAUGGUUUCGGCUAUCACUUACAGAUGGGCCCGCGGUGCAUUAGCUAGUUGGUGAGGUAACGGCUCACCAAGGCAACGAUGCAUAGCCGACCUGAGAGGGUGAUCGGCCACACUGGGACUGAGACACGGCCCAGACUCCUACGGGAGGCAGCAGUAGGGAAUCUUCCGCAAUGGACGAAAGUCUGACGGAGCAACGCCGCGUGAGUGAUGAAGGCUUUCGGGUCGUAAAACUCUGUUGUUAGGGAAGAACAAGUACGAGAGUAACUGCUCGUACCUUGACGGUACCUAACCAGAAAGCCACGGCUAACUACGUGCCAGCAGCCGCGGUAAUACGUAGGUGGCAAGCGUUAUCCGGAAUUAUUGGGCGUAAAGCGCGCGCAGGCGGUUUCUUAAGUCUGAUGUGAAAGCCCACGGCUCAACCGUGGAGGGUCAUUGGAAACUGGGGAACUUGAGUGCAGAAGAGAAAAGCGGAAUUCCACGUGUAGCGGUGAAAUGCGUAGAGAUGUGGAGGAACACCAGUGGCGAAGGCGGCUUUUUGGUCUGUAACUGACGCUGAGGCGCGAAAGCGUGGGGAGCAAACAGGAUUAGAUACCCUGGUAGUCCACGCCGUAAACGAUGAGUGCUAAGUGUUAGAGGGUUUCCGCCCUUUAGUGCUGCAGCUAACGCAUUAAGCACUCCGCCUGGGGAGUACGGUCGCAAGACUGAAACUCAAAGGAAUUGACGGGGGCCCGCACAAGCGGUGGAGCAUGUGGGUUAAUUCGAAGCAACGCGAAGAACCUUACCAGGUCUUGACAUCCUCUGACAACUCUAGAGAUAGAGCGUUCCCCUUCGGGGGACAGAGUGACAGGUGGUGCAUGGUUGUCGUCAGCUCCUGUCCUG
rnacentral:rRNA from 2 species